UGGGGAAUAUUGCACAAUGGGCGCAAGCCUGAUGCAGCCAUGCCGCGUGUAUGAAGAAGGCCUUCGGGUUGUAAAGUACUUUCAGCGGGGAGGAAGGGAGUAAAGUUAAUACCUUUGCUCAUUGAUGUUACCCGCAGAAGAAGCACCGGCUAACUCCGUGCCAGCAGCCGCGGUAAUACGGAGGGUGCAAGCGUUAAUCGGAAUUACUGGGCGUAAAGCGCACGCAGGCGGUUGAUUGAGUCAGAUGUGAAAUCCCCGGGCUUAACCCGGGAAUUGCAUCUGAUACUGGUCAGCUAGAGUCUUGUAGAGGGGGGUAGAAUUCCAUGUGUAGCGGUGAAAUGCGUAGAGAUGUGGAGGAAUACCGGUGGCGAAGGCGGCCCCCUGGACAAAGACUGACGCUCAGGUGCGAAAGCGUGGGGAGCAAACAGG
rnacentral:rRNA from 1 species